ACCUAGCCGCAACACACAAUUAAAAUACCAAUUGUUCGCCAAACAACUACGAGUAGUAACUUAAAACUUAAAAGACUUGACGGUGCUUCAUCACAACCUAGAGGAGCCUGUCCAAUAACCGAUAACCCACGAUUAACCCCACCCCUUCUCGCCAACAGUCUAUAUACCACCGUCGCAAGCUUACCCUGUAAAAGAAACAAAGUAAGCUAAAAAGUCCUACACUAAAACGACAGGUCGAGGUGUAACUCAUGAAGGGGCAAAGAUGGGCUACACUCUCUUAUCAGAGAACACGGACAACACUACGAACAUAGU
rnacentral:rRNA from 1 species